rnacentral:misc_RNA from 1 species
AACGCACAUUGCGCCCGGUAGCAUUCUACCGGGCAUGCCUGUUCGAGCGUCAUUUCAACCCUCAAGCCCACCCGCUUGGUGUUGGGGCCCUACCGCCGGCCAGGCGGUAGGCCCCGAAAUCCAGUGGCGGGCCCGCCGGGACCCCGAGCGCAGUAGUCUUCUCCUCGCUCCGGGCGGACCGGCGGCGCCCUGCCGUAAAACAAGGACCCGGCCGCCGCGAGGCGCGCCGGCGCCCCGCGCACACGCAAGGUUGACCUCGGAUCAGGUAGGAAUACCCGCUGAACUUAA